GUGGCUGGACGGUCCAUGGGCAGCAGCGAGGGCCACGAUGACAGAUUACGGCGAGGAGCAGCGCAACGAGCUGGAGGCUCUGGAGUCCAUUUACCCCGACUCCUUCACAGCUUGAUUGCACAUUGAUCCAAUCCUCCUAACAACUAGUCUUCCAAAAUAUAAAUGGAUUCUCCUGAUACCACAUUCUCCUUCAGUAGUGCUUCACUUGACAAGGCCCUGCUAAGUAUUAUCAGAAAAUCCACCCAGUUUCACCAUUACUGUGACAUCUGAGGCUGGAGAAAAUGAUGAAACUGUCCAGACUACCCUCAAGUUUACAUACAGUGAAAAAUACCCAGAGGAAGCUCUUCUUUAUGAAAUAUUCUCCCAGGAAAAUCUAGAAGAUAAUGAUGUCUCAGACAUUUUAAAACUAUUAGCAUUACAGGCAGAAGAAAACCUUGGUAUGGUGAUGAUCUUUACUUUAGUGACAGCUGUGCAAGAAAAAAUAAAUGAAAUAGUAGAUCAAAUAAAAACUAGAAGAGAAGAAGAAAAGAAACAAAAAGAAAAAGAGGCAGAGGAAGCUGAAAAGCAAUUAUUUCAUGGCACUCUUGUUACAAUCGAGAAUUUCUUAAGUUGGAAGGCCAAGUUUGAUGCAGAACUCUUCGAAAUUAAAAAGAAACGAAUGAAAGAAGAAGAACAAGCAGGAAAAAAUAAAUUAAGUGGGAAACAGCUCGUUGAAACAGAUCAUAGUCUUGACACAUCUGAUAUUCUAGAUGAAUCUCUGUUCCAGGAAAUGGAUGACGUGGAGCUAGAUGACGAUGAGGAUGACCCCGACUGUAACCCAGCUGACCCGGACAGUGAUCUGACCGACUAA